rnacentral:piRNA from 1 species
UGACUGAAGAAGGGUUCAUUGAUUCUCAGC